CACACACACACACACACACACACACAUUCUCCCCACAAGGUGGUUCUGACCCAGUCGUUAUUGAUCUGGUAUCUACCAUCUGGACACGUGGAAGCUUGAAUUGCACAGGACUCAAGCUGUCCUUAGCCUACCCUUAGUAAAAACAUGUUAUGCAGAGGUCAAACUGAGUGAACCAGAGCAAUGCAUGGAGUAAAGAGCCGGUUUUAGGCACCAGAAUCACUUUGUGCUGCUCCCAGGUCCCACCUUUCAUUGCUUUGUUAGAUGAAGAAAGAGAAGAUAUAUUCCCAGGAAACAUUGAAUCAAGAGGCCAAAGCUAGACAGAAGAAAGACAGAAAAGAAGGGGCUUUUUGCCACCAAAAAAGAAUUAAGAAGUUCUGCGUUUCUUCAGCUUUUAAUGAUUGGGUCUGCAAAACUCUUUAUACUUCUCAGACCUGAGCAAGCCUCAGAUUAUUAAAUAGCCUUGGGUAAA